AUGAAAUAAGUCAGAAAAAUGAAACCAAGAGGUGAUUACAUAGAGUACUGUAAUCGAGAUAUAAUAAAAUCUUUUUUCUGUUUAAGCAAACACUGGUGCAAUUUCUUUUGUAAUUUGCCUUUGAUGUGGUGCCUGAAUUAAGUAGCUUUGUCAAUUGCAGACUUGCAGUUACUAUAUUAAAAACGGGAGUAACUGCUAAAAAAAUCACUGGAUUAUCAUAUCCUUUGUCCUUUCUACUUGUGUUAUGAUACAAAAUGAGGUUAAGGUUCAAGAGAAGGAGACAUUAUUGACUUGCAUUUAAAGGAAUCUUAGGCUUUUGAUGAAAUAUUCAACCUUCAAUGCAUUAAAUAUCUCUCUUUAGUUUAGAAUAGUUGGAUAUUGACAUGGUUUUGAAGGUCGAAAAGAGUAUUCUUUUCUCCAUUUUCUGAAAUGUCAUAUCCAGUGUUGAUUAUGAUUAAGGCAAAUUGCAAUUGCCUAACAUGUUUUGCAAAGUUUGACUGCAUUAGUGGGGGAUGUUUGUAAAUUUAUAUCACCUAACUUUCUUAUCCUGUUCUUGGAGGCUGUAAGAUCAGGACAAAGUCUCUCUUUAUGCGCAGUUCCCAUCAGAUAACAAUAACAUUGAUAUUCCUUUCUCCUUCUUGAGUCCCAUCCUAUUCCACAAUCAAACAUAGAAUGCUUUUGAGAUCUCCUCAUAAUAGUAACUGUUGCUGCUAUUUUCAGAAGAAUUCAGCUGAACAUAAAAGUAAUAGUUGCGUCUAAUUUAUCUAGAAAUAGAAGAACUAAGUAGCUAUAUUACAAACAUAUAAAUGAAGACAGUGUCUUUUCAUACAAAGAAAAAUUUAGCAUUUUUUUCAUUCUUAUAGAGUAAGGACAGUUAAAAACAGUAAUGCAUAACAAUGAACAAAGAAAUUUUGAUCUCAUUUCAUAAACUGUGUUUUAGCUUAUUUAAAACACUUGUAAUUAUCCAUAUUACACAAAACUUGAAAAUAAUGAAAAGUUCCGUUAAGAUAUAACCAAGCACCUUAUACAUGAUAAGAUAAUGAGGAUGCAAGAAAGAUAAGUCGGAAAAUGCACACAAAAGUAAUGACUCACCAAAAAGGUAGUCUCAGUGAAAGAUUGAAAGUAACUGUAAAAAGAAUACACUAGAAUGAUUACUUGCCUUUCUAGCAUCUUUUAAACCAUUUUUGUGCAUUUUCCAUAAGAAAAAACUCAAACGCUAUCAAUUUUCUGAUCUGCAAUAAAGUUAAAGAAUUUUAUUUUAAGAUUAACAUAUUAUAAGGAAGCGUGCAGCAACCUCAUCAUAUAUUGUUAUUAAGAAUUAUUUAUUAAUUAUUUUUAUUUACACUAGAUUAUUAUACUUCAAGAUUACUGUAUAUUAGUUAAACAUUACUUUCCCUUAAAAAAUCUUUAUUCAGCAAACUUUUCUUGCAUAGAAAUGAUAAAUCUUUUCUGUUCGUAAUUUUUCAUUAUGAUUGCACUUGUAUAUGAAGUAGUUUAUUAGAAGUGAAUCAAGCAUUCGAUAGAAUCUCUACCUUAAAGACGUACCUGUGGUUUUUCCAGGGCCGACUGUAUGCCAUAUGAAGUAGUUUAUUAGAAGUGAGUCAAGCAUUCGAUAGAAUCUCUACCUUAAAGAUGUACCUGUGGUUUUUCCAGGGCCGACUGUAUGCUAACAUGUUUAGUGAUUUCUGGAGGCUUUAUCGAUACUAGCUGAUAGACCUACUAUGUGCGGAACACAUAAUGUAGGUCAUAGAGUAGAAAACCCAUAUAAGUAAAAGCAAGCUUAUAUUAGCAGCUAGGGCCUAUAUCAAAACCAAAGAACAUGAAGGACAUAAGCUAGUUGUAGUGUUUGCAUUUUGAGCAUCUCUUUCUAAGUGUCAAGA
rnacentral:lncRNA from 1 species